GGCAUGGCACAGCGGGUAGAGUGCCAGGUUGGUAGCCUGAUGGUCGUAGGUUCGAAC
rnacentral:tRNA from 1 species